CGUCCAGCCAGGCCAGGUCGUGUUGAGAGAACAUCAGGUCCAUCAUCUUACGCACCACCAUCAGACCCAGGAUCUACACAUCGAAAAAAGUUGUCGCUGGUAUUGAAUUUCCACGACACUACCCCUCCAAAACAGACACACACACAGAGCGAUCACCAUGACAGGGAAGAUGAUGGCAGCUACGGUAGACUUGAGGGUCCAGAGGACAGCCAGACAGAUAAUCUGGACCAGGGUGAAGAGAUGGACUCUCCUCAGAGGAACGUGACGCAGGAAGGAGAAGUCUGGCUGGUGCUUGGCUGGCAUCAGGUACAGCUUGAUACGUUCCCAGAACUAGGAGGGAGAGAGGAGGUGGGAACUGGGGCUGCUCUCCUGGGGCGCUGGACUCACUCUCCAUCUUCAGAGAGUCGAUGUGGGCGAUGGAGAUGACAGUAGCAGCCACGUACCAGGGCAGGCCCAGGAAGGAACACACUGCCAUCAGAAUACCCACCCAGAACAGGUCCAGAUGACAGCUCAGAACAGAGUGUGAUGGAGAGGAUUCGCCGAGGGCCUACGCUCCCUAAGUAAGUAGGUGUGUUCAUGGUUGCAGUUGUGUUGUGUUGUCAUUGCGGCCAUACUGUACCUUGAGU